GGCACCAUGGUGUAGAGAUUAUCACAUCUGCCUAACACGCAGAAGGUCCCCAGUUCGAGCCUGUGGUGUCA
rnacentral:tRNA from 1 species